rnacentral:rRNA from 1 species
UACGGGGGGAGCAAGCGUUGUUCGGAUUUACUGGGCGUAAAGGGCGCGUAGGCGGCCACCGCAAGUCACUUGUGAAAUCUCCGGGCUUAACCCGGAAAGGUCAACUGAUACUGCGGGGCUAGAGUGCAGAAGGGGCAACUGGAAUUCUCGGUGUAGCGGUGAAAUGCGUAGAUAUCAGGAGGAACACCAAUUGCGAAGGCAGCUCGCUGGGACGUUACUGACGCUGAGACGCGAAAGCGUGGGGAGCAAACAGG